UAUUCAUGAAGUAUUACGUAAUCACUGUACAUAUCAGAUAUUAGAAUGAAGUAAAUUGUUAACUGCUGAAAAAAUGUCAGCUUUCUUAGUACACAGAAUGAAACGGACAAUAUUGCAAACUACUAUAAUUCUUGCCGCGGAGUUGGAAAAAAAUGUAGCUCGGAUGAUGGAUUGUCUAUAGGAUACUUUUACGGGACGUUGGUUAUUAUAAACAGGAAUUCAUGUACACGAAAAACAAUGUUAGUUGAUCAGCAAGGUGCCUUUUUCUCUAAGUUUUCCAGAUAAUCCGGCGGUAGAAAACAACAUAUGUUACAAAGAUGUAUCAUUUUGAGGAACUAGACGGAUUUUUUGUUUUGUUUUAACUGUCAUGUAUGCAUUCGACGUCUGGCGUGUAGGAAGUUCGCAGAUAGGCUAUAGGUAAUAUAGUUCAUGCAGAAUAACUGAAAUGUCUCGUCUGCUUACAAAAUACACGUGCCAAGACGCUGGAACGGAAUGAAUAUACUUAACUGUCAUUACCUACGGAUACGGACGAAGGCUUUAUGAAAUUUGAAAAUUACAAGCGUCCACAGCAGAUGUCAUGAAUAUCUGUCUUGUGAUCUUUGUUAUCCUACCGCCUUGCAUUAUGGGAUUUACAUGUCCAGAAGACCUCAGUCGCGUGUGCACGUGCUAUACCACAUUUACCGGAUCAAUUCGAAGGGAAGAACGGCGCCAUGUAGAUUGUUCAUCCAGAGAACUUAAAGAAAUUCCAUACAUGGAUUUUAGAGAAGGAACUAGGCUUUACGAAAUUCUUCUACAAAACAACUCGAUAACGUCAUUACUAGCCACAGAUUUUGCGAGGAAAACCCAUGUCCGUUACAUCGACAUCAGCGGAAACCCUGUUGGAAGUUCGUUAGAAAAAAACUUACUGAAGAAAUCUGUCACUAAUCUAAAAAUUCUGAAAGUGAAAGACAUCGGCCUUGAUCUUCAAAAUAUGACGUCAUUACAUUUUCUUAAAGAUAUGCAUUCCCUAGAAGAAUUAGAUUUGUCUGGAAAUAUGGAGUACGGUGUCGAUAUGCUGCCAGCAAUCUUUGUAGAGAACGAAAUACACUCGCUUAAAAUAUUAAGUCUGUCCCUGUGUAGAAUUAAGGAUGUAAAUCCCCACGGAUUUAUAGGACUUAACAACCUAAGAGAAAUGGAUCUCAGCCAGAAUUACUUAUCUCGCGUUCCAAGGGCAUUAAACAGACUGGGGUUAUUGAGGAAGCUUACACUCCGGGAAAAUGACAUCACUGUGAUAUAUCAUGGAGACUUCAGUGAUCUAAAUUGCCUUGAAGAAUUGGAUUUAUCCAAAAAUUUACUUGGGCAAAUUGAAGCUUUCCGAAAUGGAGCUUUGUUUGGAGUCAGCAAUUCUCUAACUCAUUUCUAUCUUCAUGAUACCCAUUUAGGAUUUUUUCCAACUCGUACUUUGUCAGAUUUGAAGAAAUUGAAACAUUUAGAUAUUUCACAUAACAAAAUUACCCUGUUGACCAACAUGUCUUUCUCAGGGAGAUACCAGCUCAGUUUUCUUGAUAUAAGCGGAAAUCCAUGGCUUAUAGAUGACGGCAUGUUUGAUGGGGUGAAAGACAGUUUAGUGAGUUUGCGCAUGCGCAAAAUCGGAAUUACAUCGGUUCCAAGAAUUCCUUUGACAAAACUUCAGAAUUUGAGGAACUUGGAUUUAUCGUAUAAUGAACUGCAUUCUUUAAACAACGACAGUAUUUCUGGAAUAUCAGCUAGACGUAUAUCCUUCCGGGGAAACAAAAUAAGUUAUAUAAAUGAUGAUGCUUUUUCCCAUUACAAGCGUCCAAUAGACCUUGAUCUUUCUCAGAAUGUGUUAGAUUCUCUAAAAUUUGUAUUUGAAUCAGAAAAAUGUACCUUUUACAAGCUUAACAUAUCAUACAAUGGAUUUCUCUGUGAUUGUCAAAUUGAAAAGAUUGUGAAUUCGAAAAGAGCUUACGAUCUUGACGGAAACUGUAUUUUAAAAACUGGCCGGACGGUGGCGCUCUCAAACGGAAGUAUGAUACGUGAUUUGGAGACGCAUUGUGGGAAGUCUUCUCGGACAUUCUGCUUAUGGUGGGCCCCGAAGUCAGAAUCCAUUAAUGCAGAGUUAUGAAAAAAGAACAAACAGUCAUGCUAUUCAGUUGCCAGCUGUUUUUCCUGUUAAAUGAUCAGCGCAUAAACUCAUGAUUUAUUACAUAACACUUCAUGAACAGAUAGAUUCGUGAUAAUUUUAAACUUCCGUGAAUUGUUCUCAUCUCAUAUAUAUUUUACUCGUGUGCCUAGUCAUCCUUACUUCUUAUGUAUAAGGAAGUUUUUCCCCUUGGAGUUUCGUUUUAAGUACUUCGUGGAAAAAAGGCAUGUACGUUUUACUGGUAUCUAUCAAGACUUCAAGUGUAGCAGCCUUUUCUACUUGGGAGUACUGCAGUUUUGCAGGAGAUUGAAAGAUGUUGCUUGGGUAUAUGAUAGUAUGUAUUGUGUGGUUAACUGAUGUCACAGGACACGUGUCCGCACGGAUGUACCCUACAAGACAUCCUAAAAUGUCGACACCGGUGAUCAGUUAUGUGUCAUCUCACACAUGUGAUGAAAAUCCCUACGUAAACGGUUGCAGCAUACCAAUCAGGUCCUACAGACAAAUGUUUCAGUCAGAAUGCAACAGGCACGAUAUUUGUUAUAACUGUGGCUCGGCGUAUGGAAUAAGCAGACGAUCUUGCGACGCUCUUUUUGGUCAAAGUAUUGCAGAACGUUGUGACUCUGCUAAAAACAAGACUUGGUGCCACAUAUUGACUUACAUAUCGUACGCCGGUGUCAGACUAACCGGUCGCCGACAGUAUUCACGUUUCUCUCCGUCGUGGUGUACCGACAGAUGGGUUUCCUCUUGUUUGUACAUGUAGUAGGCUUCCGCUUGCAUUUGUGAAGAAAGUACCAUCAUUUGAAGACUGCAUGCGUGAAUAUCCAAAUUGAGUGUGUUUCAUGUAUAAAACGUAAUAAAUGUCAUGCGUUGUGUAUUAGAUACCUAUUGAUAUAGGUGAAUGGUCCAUCGUCCGGCUUCCUUCGAAAACAUAUACACCACAACUCCACCUCUGAAUUGCUGGUUGGAAUUACAUCAUUUGACUUUAUCAUUCUGGCAGAAACCUCCUUUAAAUGUUUUUUCUUGACAGCGUUUAGGAGCCACCAGAGCUACUCUCAUGAAGCACUUGAUGGAUCUUUACCAAACCUUUUUGUACAUGUGUUCAAAUGAUUCCACUUGACUGGAUUUAGAGGCCACUUAAACGAUUUCUUCUAAUGGACGGCGGGGCUGAUCUUCACUAAACUUGGUCUCUGGCAUCCUGUGAUGGAUUUUACUUUCCUAAGGCGGGUUAACUCUUUGGUUCAGAAUAUAAAAGAGCUAAACGUUUCGAAUGCGCUGACAUUUUGUUAAUAUACAAAGUUUAUUCAUCUAAAAGUUCCGUUUUAGGCUAACAAUUUUUUCGUCUUUAUCACAUUUACAAGGUGAAAAAGACUAUUAGAUCGACGUGUUUUUCAUCACAACUAGUACUAACUGUUAACACCACACUUUGAUAUGACAACAUGUCUAGUUAACACAAUAAGACUUAUUUUUUUUACAUAUAAAAAUUGGGAGAUCAUCUUGAAAAAAUCUCUUCGCGCAUCCAAUUGAUGUUUAUAGUAUCAUCAUUUCUAUAAUAAGUAACAUGAAAAAAGAUGUGUUGUAGUUACGAAUAAAUAUCCCAAGACAGUUA